UACGUAGGGGGCAAGCGUUGUCCGGAAUCAUUGGGCGUAAAGAGCGUGUAGGCGGCUCGGUAAGUCCGCUCUGAAAGCCCGGGGCUCAACCCCGGGAGGCGGGCGGAUACUGUCGAGCUAGAGUCCGGAAGAGGCGAGUGGAAUUCCUGGUGUAGCGGUGAAAUGCGCAGAUAUCAGGAGGAACACCAAUGGCGAAGGCAGCUCGCUGGGACGGUACUGACGCUGAGACGCGAAGGCGUGGGGAGCAAACAGG
rnacentral:rRNA from 1 species